UACAGGGGGUGCAAACGUUGCUCGGAAUCAUUGGGCGUAAAGCGCACGCAGGCGGCUCGUUAUGUCGGAUGUGAAAGGCCUUGGCUUAACCGAGGAAGUGCAUCCGAAACUGGCGAGCUAGAGUACGAAAGAGGAUCGCGGAAUUCCCGGUGUAGAGGUGAAAUUCGUAGAUAUCGGGAGGAACACCGGUGGCGAAGGCGGCGAUCUGGGUAGAUACUGACGCUGAGGUGCGAAAGCGUGGGGAGCAAACAGG
rnacentral:rRNA from 1 species